GGAAGGGCGGGGGCCCCGGCCGCGAAGAAAGGCAGGAGCUAUAAAAGAGCCGACGGGCCCGACGAUGGGCAUCAAACACCUCCGACAUGAAGGUGUUCGUAGUCACGCUCGUGCUGGCGCUCGUCGCCACCGCAUACGGUGGUUAUAUAAGCAGCGGUGGCGGAUUCGGCAGCGGUGGAUAUGGCGGUGGCGGAUUCGGCGGCGGUAGCAGUGGAUGGAAGUUCGGGGGCGGAGGUGGAUACG